rnacentral:misc_RNA from 1 species
GAUGAAGAACGUAGCGAAAUGCGAUAGGUAAUGUGAAUUGCAGAAUUCAGUGAAUCAUCGAAUCUUUGAACGCACAUUGCGCCCCUUGGUAUUCCAUGGGGCAUGCCUGUUCGAGCGUCAUUUGUACCUUCAAGCCUUGCUUGGUGUUGGGUGUUUGUCUCGCCUCUGCGCGCAGACUCGCCUCAAAACAAUUGGCAGUCGGCGUAUUGAUUUCGGAGCGCAGUACAUCUCGCGCUUUGCACUCAGAACGACGACGUCCAAAAGUACAUUUUUACACUCUUGACCUCGGAUCAGGUAGGGAUACCCGCUGAACUUAAGCAUAUCAAUAAGCGGAGGA